rnacentral:rRNA from 1 species
GUCAAAUCAUCAUGCCCCUUAUGACCUGGGCUACACACGUACUACAAUGGCCGGUACAACGGGAAGCGAAGGAGCGAUCCGGAGCCAAUCCUACCAAAGCCGGUCUCAGUUCGGAUUGCAGGCUGCAACUCGCCUGCAUGAAGUCGGAAUUGCUAGUGGUCGCGGAUCAGCAUGCCGCGGUGAAUACGUUCCCGGGUCUU